GUGCUCCCUUUCGCAGCACAUAUACUAAAAUUAGAAAUAUACAGAGAUUAGCAUGUCCCCUGCACAAGGAGGACAUGCAAAUUCAUGAAGCAUUACAUAUAUUU